rnacentral:rRNA from 1 species
UUGGUCUCAAAUCAAUCCAGCCGACCCGCUAACUUAA